rnacentral:lncRNA from 1 species
CUAGAACCUCCAGAGGGCUCUUCCAGGGGCCUCCAGAGUGCUCCUACAAUACCUCUGCUCCAUCUGGGGUAAAGGAAGGUUGGCCAUCCCUAUCCUGGAACUGUCUUGCCCAGGGCCUGCAGGGGUAACCUGUUGGGUCUAGAAAGAGUUCCCCUCAACACCUGCAGAAAGGCUUGCAUUGGUAACACCGGCCCCUGCACCCAUCAUCCAUCACCUUUGCAAGCAGGAAACCAAUUUUCAUUUUGUUUAGGUCCUUUUGAUUUUUGUUUCCCUGCCUGACACCCUCAUCUAGUUUUAAACAUGCAGGACAUCAUCAUAUGAAGCACUCGAGAUAUAAAAAUAGAAAGGGGAAAAGGGGGGCGCUGAGCUGGGCUGGGGUGUCGAGCAAGAGAUGGUAGGAAAGGAAAACAGUCCUUUCUCUCUUAGCAACAGGAGGAAAGGUUCUCAGCUGAGACACGUGAAAAUUCUCUUGCAUCCAUGCAUUCUAAUAGAUUCCAGAGGCCUUCAGAAUCCUUUUCUCCAUCAAUACCACAUAGAAAGGAACAGGAACGUUUUGGUAUUCCCCUUUUGACAGACGAAGGAGGUGCUGAGAUGCCAGAGCCUGAACCUCCGUUUUUCAGUCUGACAGGCGAGAAUAGUAAUCCCAGCCCUGCCUUCUUCACAGAUGCCCUGAGAAUCAAAUGAGAUAAUGCAGAUGAAAGUGUUUUUCAAAGCACAAUG